rnacentral:rRNA from 1 species
CUAGGUAUUAUUUAUCACCCUGAACACACCCAGUCUCAUCUGAUCUUGGAAACUAAACAGGACUGAGCUUGGUUAGUACUUGGA